rnacentral:RNase_P_RNA from 1 species
GGGAGAGAGAGCCUGGCUGCCGCGGCGGGUGUGUCGGCGACGACCACCUGUUCAACGUCGUGUAUCCCUCUGGGAUACACCACGCACGCGAGGAAAGUCCCCCCACCUGUUCGGGCAGGUGACCGGACGCAAGUCCGGAGCGGGAGACCGCUGGCUCUGGAACAGAAACGACACGUCUCGGCCCGACCGAUGAUGCGUGCGAACCCGACCGAGAGGAAGGGGAGUUGACCCGCAGAGGGCGCGACUCUCACGUGAGAGUCGCCGACAGGGAAACGGCGUCAGCCGUAGACCGCGUGGUCGUAAAGCGCCCACGUUAUGCGAGGCGGUGUACCCGCCAAGCAGUGUGUGGUUGUCGAACCGUGGUUCGAACCCACGGGUCGCGCGUACGGAUCACCCUCGAUCCGUGCCCGGCGCGACCGACCGUACACAGACGGCCGAGGAUCGAUGGAACGGCGAACCCUCACCGGUGCAAGUCCGUGCCGUGGUAGCCCGAACGCCCCGCGGUUUCCGCGGACGGCACGGACGCUCAGCCGAAUGCCGGGACGAACAGAAGGGGGCUUACUCCUCUCACCU